AGUGACCCUUCCAGAAGACAAUCGAAGAAUAAUAAAUCCUUCAAAUGUAUUUAACUACUGGGGACAGAACAGAUUCACACCGUAUUCUUCACAUGGACUUCCAUUUUCUUAUGUACUCCAAGAACAUGGUGCAGCUGACAAUUGUAGAGGUAAAAAUCUAAGAAAUGUGGAACAGUACAAAAGUUCAUAUUUUUAAGCUACUGAAUGCUGUUACAUAUCUCUAGAUUUCAGAGCUGCAUAAUAACCAAUAAGAAAAAAGUACAUUUGGUGCUGAGUAAUUCACUUUUAAACCUUUUGAUUGCUUAAUCUAUAUUUGCCCUUUUUUUCACUGUUUAUGGGCCAAAAUUCAUUUCAAAAUGAAAAAAAUAGUAUGUUAAAAGACAACUUGUAUCAUAAAAUUAGCUUCUAUACUGUGUUUUGUUCUUUCAAUUUUUUGUAAUAGUAUUUAUAAAUAUACCUAAAGAAACUGAUGGUAUGGAGUACAAAUAGUUGUUGCUUUUUCAAAAUUGAAAAAUUGAUUUAUUAAAGUUCUAUUUUAGUUAUAUAUGUUAAUGAGAUGUAUUUCUGGUUAUAAACCUUGUAAUAAAUAAUUUCCUUAUAAUUCAUUUACUCAUUCUGCAAAUAAUUAUCAUGUCUAUAAAGCAAGAGACUGUAGCUUCCACCCAGCUGGUUAAACUACAAAAUCUUAGUUUUUAACAACCCAUCUAAACUAAAUUGCUGAAAGUGACUAUCUCUUCCACUCCUGGUGGGAUGACAGGAGAAGGAAAAGUUCAUCAUAGACAUAUUAAGAAGCCAGCUGCACUUGUAAGGCAUUUUUUAAAGUUGCAUGUGGGUUGGCUUAAUGGAUCAGAAUCCUGAGGAGCUCCAGUCACACAGCUGCAUCCACUUACCAGCUUUUUCCCAUGUACUUUUUAAAAUUUUAAUCCACCCGCCUUGUGACUUUGUACAUGCUGUCUGCUCUCUGUGUCCAUUCACUGCAGGCUCUUCUGUGUUCUCAUUGUCUCCCUUCUUUUAUUGUGUCACCUUUUGUUUAGUGAGCUCUCCAUGGCACCUGUGGGCCAGGCAGUGCUCCAUGGUGUCUGCAGGCAAGCCUGCCUUUCACAAGGAGGCCCCAGAACACAAACCGAGGGCCUCCCAUAUGGUAGACGGGAGCCCAACUGAUCGAGCCACAGCUGCUUCCCUCCCAUGGACUUUUACCAAGAACAUGGAGGGGAACACUGGGCCUGCCUGAAGUUGCGAGGAUCACAGGAUCUACCAGGACACCAAUCCCCCUAAAACAGUGGCUCUUAAUCUGGUUGCACACUACAAGAUGAUUGCACACUGUAAGUACCCAGGCCUUACCCAGGUUGGGAGCUGAGCAUCAGGAUCUUUUAGAAGCUCUCCAGGUGAUUCCAACCUGCAGCCAAGAUGCUGAAGUAGCUAAAGACACUAUGGAAGGAAUAGAAAGCUAUUAAUUAGGUAGUUCCCACACUUGUCUGCCUAGGAGUCAUAUUGGAAUCACUGGGGGAACUUCAAAAGCUACUGAUGCCUAUUUCCCACCCGCCAGGUAUCGUGAUUUAAUUGGUUUGGUAUGUGGACAGGGUGUUGGAAAUUUGUAAAGAUCCCAGGUGGUUCUAAUGUACAGACAAGCUUAGGAACCACUGAGUUAAUACACUGAGGGCCAAAGAGAAAUAAUAACUAUCUUCAUCUAUUUUUAGUUCCAUGAAGUUAGAGUUUAUUUUAAAGGAGUAAUAGAAAUAGUAAGCACACUUGCCUUUUAAUUAAGAAUGUCCACUAUCAAGUUGUAUUCAGUACAUUUAAAAAAUGUGUUUUGACCUCAUUUUUGAGCUCUUAAGAGUAGGGAGAGAUGAAAGGAAUAAAGGAAGAAAGAAGGCACAGAAGAGAAAAGAGAAAGCAUGAGGAAGAAAUAGACAAGGGGUUCUUUUUUUUUUUUAAAGAUUUAUUUAUUUAUUUAAUUCCCCCCCUCCCCGGGUUGUCUGUUCUCUGUGUCUAUUUGCUGCGUCUUGUUUCUUUGUCCGCUUCUGUAUGUUGUCAGCGGCGCCAUUCCUGGGCAGGCAGCACUUUCUUUCGCGCUAGGCGGCUCUCCUUACAAGGCGCACUCCUUGCGCAUGGGGCUCCCCUACGCGGGGGACACCCCUGUGUGGCAGGGCACUCCUUGCGCGCAUCAGCACUGUACAUGGGCCAGCUCCACACGGGUCCAGGAGGCCCGGGGGUUUGAACCGCGGACCUCGACAAGGGGUUCUUAACCUUUUUUGUUCUAUGGACCCCUUUGCCAGUCAGGUGAAAACCACAGACCCCUUACUAAAUCCACACUACACUGUAUAUUAUUUAAUAUAUCACACCUGCCCCAACACAUCCCCACAAGAAUAAAGUUUUUUUUGAAUUUCAAUUCAAGCUCAUGGACCCCUUAUUAAGAACCCCACAAACUAGACCAUCAGAGAAGAAAGGAAGAAGAACAUAUUUCAUGAAUGCAUUCAAUGUACCAGGCAGGUCUUGUAUAUGAAGCAUUUUACAUGUAUUAUCUCAACCUUCAGAACAGUGCUGUAAAGUAGGUACUAUUUUUAUCCCCUCUAUAUCAUGAGAAGCUAAAGUACAAAGAGAUUUAAGGUAAUUCACCCAAGAUACACAGUUAACAGGUAACCGCCUGGAUUUGACUCAGAGUCAGACUCAAAAGCGUAUGCUCUUUUACACAGAAACAGGAGCAGGGCUGGCAACAGUUUUCAAAUUGGUGCCCCUUUUUAAAGACUUUUUUUUUUAGGAUUUAUUUUAUUUAUUUCUCUCCCCUUUCCCCCUGUUGUCUGCUCUCUGUGUCCAUUUGCUGUGUAGUCUUCUGUAUCUGCUUGCAUUCUUGUCACACAGUACCAGGAAACUGUGCCGCUUUUUUGUUGUUGUUGUGUCAUCUUUCUGUGUCAGCUCUCCAUGUGUGUGGCACCACUCCUGGGCAGGCUGCACUUUUUUCUCAUGGGGCGACUCUCCUUGCAGGGCGUACCCCUUGCAUGUGGGGAACCCCUAUGCAGGGGACACCCCUGCGUGGCAUGGCACUCCUUGUGCACAGGAGCACUGCACACGGGCCAGCUCCACACGGGUCAGGAGGCCCUGGGAGUAGAACCAUGGACCCUCCAUAUGGUAGGUGGAUGUGCUACCAGUUGAACCACAACUGCUUACUUUCAAAGACUUUUUAAUUAGGGAUAACUAUGUCAAAGUACUCAAAUCUUAGCACCUUGAUGAAUUUUUGCAUAAGUGCGCAUCCAUGUAGCCACCACCAAGAUCAAGAUACAGAACACUUCUAGCCCCCAGAAACUGUCCUUGUGCCCCUCUGUCAAUUUCCACCAAGGGACUUCUAUCACCAUGGAUGAAUUCUGCCUGUUUCUGAGCUGCAUGAAAGUGGACUCAUACAGUGUGCUUACUUUUUGUAUAACUUCUUUUACUCUACACUAUGUGAGAUGCAUUCAAAGGGCAUCUAUCAGUAGUUCAUCUGUUUCCAUUGCUAUAGUUUUGCAUACACUAUGCAUAUUACUGUUCACAGUAAUUUGGGUUGUUUCCCGUUUAGGGCUAUUGGGAAAACAGCUGCCAGGAACAUUUUUGUACAUAAGCUCUCAUUUCUUUUGGGUGUUUACCCAGGAGUAGACUGCCAAAUGCCCAUUUUGAUCAACUGAUACUCAAGUACUAUUAAAAAGGAUUUUGUCAAAUUUCACCUUUAUAAAUUAAUUUGUAUUUACAUUUUAUAUAAAUGGAAUUAGUGAUUAUGUAAGGCUAGGAGAGACAUGCUAAGGGGUGUGGAUUUUAACUUUUUGGAGUAAUGAAAUAAUUCUAAAAUUUUUUGUGAUGAUAAAUGCACAAUAUUGUGAUUAUACUAAAAGCCAUUGAUUAUUCACUUUAGAUAAAUGGUAGGAUAUGGGAAUAUAUCUCAAUAAAACUGCUUAAUAAAUAAAUAAUUGUGCAAUUGCCAGAAAUAGCAGCUAUGGAGAGCAGGGGAAAAAAAGAGAGAUUGAGAGAUGAAGAAUUUUCUUGUUUGUCUAUUAUUAUUAUUAUAGAAAUAAUGAAAAUGCUCUAAUAAUGAUUAAAGUGAUGAAUAUACCACUAUGUGAUUAUACCGAAUACCAUUGAUUAUACACUUUGGAUUAAUUGGAUGCUUUAUUAAUAUGUAUCAGUAAAACUGAUUUGUUAAAAAGGGAAAAAUAGGAUUUUGUGUCUAUGUCCUGAGCUAUGUCCUGAGUCUAUGCCAUGACAGAUUAAAGAUGUCUACCAUUUUGUAAGGAGACCAUGAUGGCCCAUGUGCUUUUAAUUCAUCAUUCCUGAACUAGAGAGAAACAUGGAAGAGGCAAAACCAGGAAGCAAAAGGAGGAGAAGCAGAGGAGCUACCUCUGAUAUGUGAGCAAACUACUCUCACCAUGCUUUGCAGCUCAUGUGUGCUGUGGGCCUCAAAGUGUGACCUGGCACUUGGUAAUACUAAAUACAGCAGUUUUAGACAUAUAUAUAUGACACUUAAAUAGAUAGAUAGAUAGAUAGUCUCCUCUUAUAACGUCUUACCACCAGAAUAAGAACCUCCAAAGACAAGAAUGAAGAUAUUAACACUCUCCCUGGACCAUUUGGAAUAGCUAAAAGUAGGGCCUAUGAGGUGUCAAACUUCAAUCCAUUUCAUUACAGCACAGGGAGUAUGACUGCACAGACCAUGUGAGGAUCCUUGACCCUCCAAAACCUCCACAGUGCUCUCUGCCUUAUAAUAAUCAGCAUUAUGCCCUUAUUGAAGAACAAAGGAAUCUGUGUACUUGUUUUGGACACAGCAAGGAAGCAAGCUGGACAGACUUGUCUGCAGUGAGAGGAAUCUAAGAAAUGGCUUAGGCAGUAAUCAUGGCAGGCAGAGAAAGAAGCCGACUGAGGCUUGGGGCCUUUUGGUCUGUGGGAAAACCUCCCAGGGUAGAGAAUAAGGCUCAGGUGUUUGUAGUAGAAAGUUCUG
rnacentral:lncRNA from 1 species